UACGAGGGGGGCGAGCGUUGUUCGGAAUUAUUGGGCGUAAAGGGUGCGUAGGCGGUUCCGCAAGUCCUGUGUGAAAUCUUCGGGCUCAACUCGAAGUCUGCACGGGAAACUGCGGGGCUUGAGUGUGGGAGAGGUGAGUGGAAUUCCCGGUGUAGCGGUGAAAUGCGUAGAGAUCGGGAGGAACACCAGUGGCGAAGGCGGCCGGCUGGGGGUGACCUGACGCUGAGGCGCGAAAGCGUGGGGAGCGAACCGG
rnacentral:rRNA from 1 species